UUCUUGAAGAAUCGGCGAUUCCGGUAGCUCAAUGGUGGCGGCGUACGCUGUGAUUGGCAAGACACAAAGUGUCAAUCCUCGCGCGCGCCUCCGGCAUCAUGGCCGCCAUCAACGUCGAGAUCAACAC